rnacentral:SRP_RNA from 1 species
UGCACUUGGGUGAGUCCUACACGACCAGCUCCCUGUGAAUCCCCCAGGGCUUGAUCGCAGCAAGGGUAGUAGGUCGUAGCGGUGCGAUGUAGGUUGCUCACCUGUAU